rnacentral:ncRNA from 1 species
ACGAACCUCUGGAGAGACUCAUAGAGCACCGAAGGAGCAAACCCGACUAGUCGGACUAAACUCUCAGGUAAAAGGACAGAGGAAU